CUAAACUAGGGUUAGAUUUAUAUUUGUAUGUGUUAAUUUGUGCUUGGACUUAGGUAGGGCCUCCUACCCUGAAUUCCCUCCCUAAAACCCGUAACCUUUCUUCUCUCUUCUUCUUUCAUUCCAGACUCUCUCUCUUAUUCUUUUCUGAAAACUCUCUCAUUCUCUCUCUUACUCUCGAACUCACGGCAACCACCAAGAACCACCACAAUCUUGUACCAACGUUCCAUUUAAGACCACCAUCGUGAUCCUGGGGACUUCACGAGCACGGGGAUACCAAUUUCAGGUGAGUUUCACUUCGAAAACCCUAGUUCUAAAGUUGCCGUGAGAUGACACUGUUCAUGAGCUUUGAAUUGGUUACGUUUUAGGCUAAAACAAGAUCACAGCGAGUUUAGUAAGGUCCCAAGGAAGCUCGGAGUGCUUCGUUGGAAGUUUUUGGACGUAAGAACACGGAGAUCGACAAGUUCAAAGUUUGGCCGGAGCUUUCGAGGCGUUUUCCGGCGAAUCCCCGGAGAGUUAGGAGUUGAGGUAGGUAUCAAUCUCUUCGUCUCGUCAAGUACUACAACUUUCCUUUUUGUUUCACUCAAUUUCGUUGAGUAUUUAAGAAGUUAUACUCAUUUGAAAAAUACCCAGUUUCCGGCGACCUCCGAGGCUUUCGAGGCAGUUUCCGGCCAAACCACGGCGAACUAGGUGUUGUGCAAGGUACCAUUCUCUUUGUCUCUUCAAGGGCUACAACUUUCGUUUUUUAAUCACUUGAUUUCGUUGAGAAAUGACAAAGUUAUGGAAAUUUGAAAAACGGCCGCCGGAAAAACCAGUCCGGCGACCCAAGGAAGAAGAAGGUGCGCGUGGGGGCGCGUAGGUCCGUGCCUUCCUUGGCGCGUGGGGGCGCGUUCUACAGUACAAAAUUAUUUUAAAAAUAUGUCGACGUCCGUGACGUCGAGUAGAUCACUGUGGUAUAUUCAUAUACCUAAAUUGAACACCGUAUGAGAAAGUUAUUGAGGAUUGUUGGUUAGGUGUUCAAAUAACGUUUUAUAAUUUUCACAUUUAGGUGAAAAUGUGAAUUGACGGAGAUCCGACCGUUGGAUGGUAAUGAAAUUUUAGGAUGUUGUCCUAGAGGUAUAAUGUGGACCUCUGGAAGUUAUGGAUUUAAAAUCUGAGGGGUGGAUCUUCCGGAUCAAUCUACGUAGUGACGUAUUUUAUAUAAGUUAUAUAUUCUAUCGAUAUGAAUUCUGAGGUUGGAAUUGAUUAUUGUUUUAGGCGCCGAUCGUCAUGACGCCUUGGCGUAUUGUGCUAGGGAGUUGUAGGGCGAACUCCAGGUGAGUGGGCAGUUUUAUUUUCCGUAUAUAUAUAUAUACUUGACGUUUCCCAGAAAUUGAAUUGAAAAUGAAAAUAUGUUUAAAAUGAAAUGCAUAUGAGUUAUGUGGAAAAACGGGAAGUGAAAUACCAUGCAUAGAAUUGAUAUGAAAAGUAUAUAGAAAUGUGAGUUGAAAUGCCAUGCAUGAAUUAAUAUAUGAUGCAUAUGUAUGAAUUGGUGCGGUGGACGCACAGGUAAGAAUUGAUUUAUGAUGCAUAUGUAUGAAUUGGUGCGGUGGACGCACAGGUAAGAAUUGAUUUAUGAUGCAUAUGUAUGAAAUGGUGCGGUGGACGCACAGAUGAGUAUUUAAUUACUGUUAUGAUGAUGAUGAUAUAUAUUGAGCUCAAAUCCUGCACCAUGGUUUAGUGCUUAUAGUAUUCACCGCAUCGCACGCUCGCCUUGGAUCCAAGUAGAUGCUAGUCGUACAGUCCACGCGGAGUGGGUACGACAGGCCAGUCGCGAGAGUGUUAGUGAGAUUCCGACUGGUGGGUGACCUUAGAUUAUGUGCACAGAUGAUUUAUGAGAAGCACUAGAGCGUAACUUGUGUGCAGAAGGCCGGACGGGUCACAGAGGUGACUCCGGUAGAGUGAUAAUGAUAGAUUUUGAGCUCUAGGUUCAACCGUAUAGGGCUAUUAGAGGGCCUACGGUUGAUUACUUUCUUGCACCUGAUAUGAUUAUGUUGAUGCAUUCAUACCUUAUUACUGUUGAAAUGAUGUGGCAUGGCAUAAUUAAUAUGAGAAAUGUUGAGAUGACAUGGCAUGGCAUGAUUGAUAAAAGAUAAUGUUGAGAUAGUAAAAUGAAGUUUUGAGAAUAUAUAUGUAUAUUUUAUAUUUUACAUUUCUGGGAAAGUAUAUACAGGUUUUACGGAGAGGGGUUACAACGUUUUGAGAAAUGUUUGGAUUUGGAAAAGAGAAUUGUUUUACUGACCCACUCAAUUUUGGUUUUGCGCCCCUCCAGGUUCAGGGAAUCACAAAAAGGUGUGGUGACUACGAGGAAUUCGACGGUGUUCUGACAGAUUGGACAAAAUUAGGACUCACCUUCGGGUGUAUCAAUUUAAAUUGUAUCUUAAAGCUUCCGUACUGUGCAAAUGGUUACGUCACUCUCACGUGACGGCCAGCAUACCCUCCUUCGGGACGGGGUGUGUCAGUUGGUAUCAGAGCAUGGUUGCAAUCUUGGGACAUCUUGAGAAGUUCUAGUGAAUUCUGUCAGAAACUACACCGCCUCGUAGUAAGCCACUUAGUUGGAGGAAUUUAGUCUCCCUAAUAUAGCGGUUUAGGGAAAACUAUUAUUAUGGUGAUUCAGUCUAUUAUAAAAAGGGACAUUUUAAGACGGAUUAUAAGUCGAAUUUGAAUCACCUUAUGAAAUGAUGAACCUGAGGGAGCGAAGUAACGGUUUAACCAUUUGGAAAAGAUGUUUCGGAAUAUGCAAGUCAAAGGAAUCUUCCUUCUGACAGGGGGUCGAGACGACUACCUGGUUUUGGGUAUGAAUUUUGUAUCCUGGUGGAAAACAGGAGUAUUGAUGUGUUGUCACCGGAGGAACAGCCCGAUUUUAAAAUUGUUUAAGGACUUGUUUAAGGGAAAAAGUUUAUCCUCCGGCAUUUAUCGAUGGUAGUAAACAAGAGUUUACAAAUAUGAGACAAGGAAGGUGAUGAUCGAGGGGAUAUUAUAGAAAGUUUUCAGACUUGCCUCGUUCCAUCCAGAUAUGGUUGUUAUUGGUGGAGGUGUUAUGUUGUUUUAAGCUGGGUGGCAAAAAAAGGGAAGUGGUAUUUUGGGUGACCACUAUCCAUUAUACUUCUUACCAGGAAUAUACGAGAUGCUGUUGAGUCUUGAGGACUCUGAGAACAUGAUCAACGAGAAUAAAGAAGAAUAAGAAAUGAAUGGGAAUUAAAAGAAGACGAUAAAGUUAAUGAUUCGUCUUAUCAAGGAUAUAGAAAGAUUCAGAGCUUCGAAAGAAGUGAAGCUAGAGUUAAUUCUUCCAGCUGAGGUUUUAAUGUCGCUGGUCAGAGUAAAAGUGAUGGAUAUACUAGUAAUCCCAGAUAUUUGAGACAAGGUGUCUCGAGUAAAGGAAAUGUACUUUGUGCAGCAGGUACAAAAUUAACACUUUGAGAAAUGUGAAAUCAAGGAAUGUGUUUAUGUGAAUAGAGGGGACGCAGAAUUGUGAAUUGCCCCUAGAAUUAGUUGUACUCAACAAUUUUCCAUGAUAUCAUAGUGUCGAUUCAGCAGAGUUAUGGACUUAGUAGUUUGGUCGGAUUGACCGUGAGUAAGAGAGAUUUGAUGAGUUAUAUGUUCAGCCGUACAGACCAUGAGAAAUGGAUUCGACUGACACAUGAGAAAUUGGUGAGUUAUAGGUUCGGCCGUACUGACCACGCGGAGUGGAUCCGGCCGACGUAUUAUUGAGAUAAGAGUUGAAUCAGCCGUAUUGAUCAUUCUAGUUGACUUCGGCUGAUAUAUUUCUUAUUAUGUAUGUUAUUACCUAGAGAGUAGUAAAUAAAUGUAGUUGAGACGAGUGUAUGUAUUUUGCAUUGAGUGACAAAAUAGUAAUGUUAUAUCUUUGUGAGUGGUUGCCUACUUAUCGAGACAACGAUGAUUUAUCAGUAUUGCGGGCUGCAGACCGUAAUAUUAAUAACUCAUUCGUGGAUUCGUUAAGUAAGUAAACCGGUAGAUUAUUUUGUACUUAUUUGGAAUGCUUAAUAAUAAUAGAAUAUAUAUUGUAUCAGUUAAUUUUGUUCCAUUAGAUUGGUUGGUUAUAAUUGUGACAAGACGGAAUGUUACGGGAAACCAGUAUUUUCCAUCGAUCUGGAUGAACAGAGAUUACUUUUGUAAGUAUGCAAAAUGGAUUGAGUCAGGCUGUUAUUUAUGCUGUGAGAGCAAAGAGAUUGUUUUCGAAAGGCUGUCAAAAAUACUUAGCUCAUGUGGUGCUAAAUGAUGUUGUUUGGAGUAGUGUGAAUAAUGUUGAAAGGGUUAGAUUUUCUUGAUGUCUUCCCUGAAAGUAUACCUGGAUUGCCUUCAGCAGAGAUAUGAGGUUCACUAUUGAUUUGUUGCCAGGUAUAAAUUUAUGUUAAAGAUUGGUUCAUGAUGAGUUAAGGGAAUUGGAAAUUCAGUUGAAAGAAUUGGUUGAUAAAAAUUUUAUUCAACCUAGUACAACGCUUUGGGGGAGCCCCAGUUCGUUGGUAAGGAAGAAAAUGGGCUUUAAGACUAUCCAUUGAUUAUAGACAAUGGAGUCGGGUAACGAUUGAGAACCGUUAUCCAUGGUGAUGUACUGAUGUUUAUUUAACCAGCUCAGAAGUAAUUGCGAAGAUUCAAAGAUUGAAUUGAGGUCUGGUUAUUACCAAUUAAAGAUUAUGAGCGACGUUGUUCUUAAGAUUGUUUUAUGAACUAUGGUGAUGCUAUAUGGAUACUCAUGCUGUUUUAUGAGUUAUUGGAUGAAGUAUUCCAAUAAUGCCUUGAUAAAUAGAUAUCAUUUUCAUUGAAGAUAUUCUGGCAUAUUCUGAGCCAGAGCAGAGCAUGUAAAUGUAUUAAGUCGGUGGAACAAAGAUUGGAAGAAUGUCGGUUGUAUGCUAAGUAGCAAAUGCUAAAGUUAGAUGAAUCAGGUGGCAUUCUGAGAUUUGUUAUAUAUUCUUAAGGUAUUCAAGUGAAUCCUUAAAAGAAUAGCAGAAAUUGAGGAAUUGGAACAACCACGAACUGUAAUUAAGAUUCGGAAUUUCUUAGCUUACCAGGCUAUCUUGGAUGGUUGUGAAAGAUUUUUCAGUCAUUGCUUUGUCAUUGAUGAGACUGUUGAGAAAGGAGGUUAUGUAUGAGUGGGAAGGAAAUUGUGAGCAAAGGAUUCAACAACUGAAGUAUUUCCUCACUCAUGCACGUAUUUUGGUUAUUCCAAAAGAAUAGUGGUAAUCAUAAAUUUUUAGUGAUGUUUCUUGAAUGGUAUUGGAGGCAUGUUGAUGCAAAUGUUAGGGUGAUUGCAUACGUUUCACGAUAAAUGGAAUCUUCAUAAGAUGAAUUACCCUACGGGUGACUUGGAAGUCAUGAUUACCAUUCUUGCUGUGAAGUUAUGAAGGCAUUAUAUUUGGUAAGAAUGCAAGAUUUUUACGAAUCCAAAAAGUCUUCAAUAUCCAUUACUUGGAAGGAUUUUGAUAUGAGGCAGCGAAAGUGAAUUGUAUUGCUUAAUGAACAUGAUUGUACGAUCAGGGUGAUCGUAAAGUUUGUUCUAGCUCAAGCACUUGGUGAGAAGACUACAGUAAGAUUAAUGUCUGGCACGUUUGCCAAGAGUAUCAUCUUGUGGAUUGAAAACCAACGGAAGAAAAAUUAAGAAUGGAAGAUCGAGAAGAAGUUAUACUUGUUAAGUAACAAGUUAGUACAUUUACUCCAGUGUUGAGUAACAACCUUUCCCAGACAGUGCAACAUUACUUAUUUGUUUUAUGGAAAAGAGAAUUGGUUUACGGAACUGUUGAGUUUCUUAAGUAUGUUGGUUGUGCAGUUUCCGAAGUAACGCCAUAAGGAUCAUGAAAUGUGUCAUGUGAGUCGGUUUUUGAUGACUUGUGAAUGGAAUGUUUCUGGGUAGAGAAGGAUUCGAUCAAGAAAGAGUUUUAGUAGACCCUGAGACUAUGGAUGAGUUUCCUCAAAGUAUUCAGGUGAUUAAGUUAACCUGAAGUAACCAGGAAUGGCAAAAGAGAUCAACAGAUGGAUAUGCCACUAAUCGAGUGUGUAAGGUAAAUGGUUUGAUAUUUUUGGAAAAUUCACCGCGAACAGAAAUGACGAGAAUUGGAAAAGAGACAAGAUAAGAUUUAGACACAUCAGACCAUUUUUUUUUUUUUUUUCACUAAAGGAAUCAAUAAAGUUGCAUACAAGUUUGUGAUGCCUUCAGAAUUGGCUAAGGCACAUAAUGUAUUUUGUGUUCGAUGCGUUGUCACUAAGUGGCAGAGUCGUUACAUGGGACUUUGGUGCAACUAUUGAGAAUUAAGCCGGAUCUGAUUGGUGAGGAACUAAUGUCGACUUUGGAUUGGAAAAAGAAGGUCCUAAGAAUUAAGACAGAGUAAGUAGUAAAAAGCUUUGUGAAGGAAAUCAUUCAGUAGAAAAUUACAUGGGAGACAGAAGAACGGAUGAGAGUUAUGUAUCCGAGACUAUUUUAUGAGUUUUGAUGUUCUGGUUGGUGAUUGGAAUUUCGGGGACGAAAUUCUAUAAGGAGGGGAGAUUGUCACAGCCCGUCCCGGAAUUAUUAAUUCCGAGGACGUGAGAUGACCAAUGUGACCUUAAACGGGAUUAAGGUGUGUAAAUGUAUGACAUUUGUUUUUACUUUAAGAUCCUAAACUAGGGUUAGAUUUAUAUUUGUAUGUGUUAAUUUGUGCUUGGACUUAGGUAGGGCCUCCUACCCUGAAUUCCCUCCCUAAAACCCGUAACCUUUCUUCUCUCUUCUUCUUUCAUUCCAGACUCUCUCUCUUAUUCUUUUCUGAAAACUCUCUCAUUCUCUCUCUUACUCUCGAACUCACGGCAACCACCAAGAACCACCACAAUCUUGUACCAACGUUCCAUUUAAGACCACCAUCGUGAUCCUGGGGACUUCACGAGCACGGGG
rnacentral:lncRNA from 1 species